AUCUCUCCUCCUGAACCUCUGGUUUUCAGGGCGUGACCCACUGGGAAUGCAAAUAUUAUUCAAAUGCUUCUGUCAAGUAGGGGAGAUUAACUUUAGUUGAAUGCAGGAAGAUUCACAGGCAUCAACUGUAAUCAACAAAAAACAAGAAGAACAAAAAAAAACACAUCUGGGGGUGAAAAAGGUCACUGGAGCUGACGGAGUCUCGGUUUGCUCCUUUUUAAUUGGUACUUUGAUGAGAAACCCCCUUUCGGCUCAGCAGCUGGCUGUCAUGCAAAGUGUUGAGAGGAAGGCUCAACGUGGGUGUGUGGGGGGCGGAGGUUUCUUCACUCCAUGACGCCCUCCUGACUAACUCAUUCAGCCUCUUUCAUUCGUUCAUUUCCAGCGUCCCUUUUUAGAAUCAAAACUCUGUAGGAAAGUGUAGUUUUCAUCACCGAGCUAUCUUGGUCCAUGACGCUUACAUCAGUGAAGGAAACUGCUCGGGUCACACGAGUGGCUUUUAACGCCACUGGAUGAAUCCAGCGCCCAUCACUUCAGCUACGCUGGUCACAAACCUUGAAGACCUUGAAUGUCUGAUCCAACUUCAACAGAACGACUCCCACUUUUUUCUCUCCGAUCUUUAGGGUCCCCCCCCCCUACUCGCCCCCCGGAGGCCGCUGCUGCUAAGGCGAAACCCGACCCGCCGACUUCUAGCAGCAAAUGUUGGAUCCGUGUGAGCGGUUGUGGCUGGAGUCCAGCUGCUCACACAGUGACACAGUGUGCUGACACCCGGCCGGCAGCAGAACGUCUCUCCCCCAUUCCAAGAACACGCACUUACUCAACCCGCUUCCCUGGAAAGUCAGUCGGGCCUCAGACGGCUGUGUGUGUCCGUGUGUGUGUGUGUGUGUGUGUGUGUGUGUGUGUGUGUGGUGCUUUGCCCUCGCAUUACUCGGUCUGACAUCCAGCCUGCGGGACCUUCUUUAGGGUUUUGCUCCGUCAACACCUCCAGGACUUCACUUUCACCAAGUGUGUUGCUUCAUAACAUUCCGCUGUGUAUUUGAGGUGACCUGGUCUGGUUUUAAGUGGAGACCUCCACUUUCACCGCCUUCAAACACCUCGUUUGUGGGACAAUUUGAUGCUUUUUUUUUUUCUCGGGGCUUCUGCAGGAAUCGACAAGCUUCUCUUCUGAUUGGUGAUUGGUCGGCUGUGUCUCCGUAUGUCUUCCCCAUGAAUCCUCUCAGUGUUCAGGAUUAUUAUUGUGUCAAAAGGACAAAACAACGGCAUUUUAAAAAGUGAACAUUAAGCGACAUUAAAGAUUGGGAGUAGAAAAAACAAUGUUUUAUUAUUUGGUGAAUUAUUUCCAGAAUGAACCCGUAACAAGUGACUAGACAAGAUGAACUGAAUGAACACGGUGUCUUUGAGUGAGAGAUUCAGUCUGAUAAUAGAGGACCGUUAUAAAUGAAUAAACAGGCUCCUCUAUGAGCUCGCUGCACAUUUCCUGCUCUUUUAACGCUUCUAUUGGAUCCAGAAUCAGCGCAUCUUACAGAAUAACAUUUCGAGCAUCACUUAUUAACUCAUCAAUAACUUAUUUCAACAACAAGUGCAGCAGACUGCACAGGUCGCUGUGGGUUCACAUGACGAUACCCGAGUGCGUCCAUUUCUCACUCCCUACUUUAGUUUACAGCUGUCUGGUCCUUUUUACCAGCAACCAGAUGCUGAGAGGAUCAGUCAGGAUCAGUUGCAGCGGAAUCCGCCGGUGGGAAGAUGAAAAUGAUGCGAGGACGGUGAGGAAGAAAGAAGCUUCACAACAUGGGUCCACAAAGCUGAGGGAGACGUUACCAUGGCUACGCGCGCACAUCUCAGAAGCUUCCUGAGCUCUUCUUCAAGACGUCCACCUUUAGAUUCUUAGAUGUUUGUGUGAAAACGUCGAAAAACGUACUUUACUUUACUCCCUGUGUCAAACCCCCAAACUAUCACUUUGAGAAAGUCCUUUAAGUUCAGCCUAAAUGUCCCACAAUACACAACUUCACCAUCAUUAGUGUGGCAAAACUCCCAUAAUGCAACGCUCUCAGUUUCCACCCCAAACGUCACUCUGGAUGUCAGUCGAGAUUUAAUUUGCUGCCUUAUUACGAGUUGAAAUAAUAUGUCUUUAUUAACGCAGCGAUGGUUUAUUCCCUGGAUCGCUAUGAAAGCAUCAGAGGGAGAGAAACAGUAAAAGUCUGAGCCAACGUGUCCUUACCGGGCUCACAGCCAGAGGACACACACACACACACACACACACACACACACACACACACACACACACACACACUGUACUGCACACACACACACACACACUGUACUGCACACACUGUACUGCACACACUGUACCUCGACUGGAAGCGUUAUUUGAGUCGCACGUGGCGGCUGAGGAGAACUGAUCCGGUCCCUCGAGGACAGAACACAGGUGGCGAGGAGGUCAAAGGUCAGAGCGGCACCGCAGCCUGGUUUCAGGGAACAGCUGAGCUACUGCACACCAUUAUGUUCACACCACUGGGCCCAGAUGUGCAAGCAACAGCAGCUGAACUUUGGGUUCAUUGAACAUCGACACGAUUUAUCGCCAAAACUCCUCCGGGUGGAUGUUGUCGUAAAGCCUCUUAAAGGGCCGGCGCGCAGGAUUUCAAGGGGGCGUGUAAGUUUCAUAAGUAUGUUUUCGUCAACACCGGUAAAUGUGUGCAUCCAAAGUCAAACAAAAACCUGCCUUGUUGACACAGACCUGAAAAGCAGAGCGGCGUGCGGACGCGUGCGGCGCGGCGCCCGCUGUGGUCGCACCGGGGCUCGGCUCCUUGAUGCGCAAAACAAACAGACCCAAAGCAAAGACUGAGAGGUCAGCUGGGCGGUUUCCACGCCGUCAGCUGCUUCUUCCUGGAAGCGCUCGGACCGACGCACGCGCACACACACACACACACACACACACACACACACACACACACACACACACACACACACACACAUGAUCCUCCGUGAUCCAGCCGACGUGUAAAGUACUGCACAUUUAAAUGACGUUCUGUAUUGAAUUACUUUUUAUUUAUCCUGCAAAUGCUUCUGCUUCUUGUACUUUAAAGCUAUUGAGGACUUCGUUUGUGAAGGUCGUCCUCCUGUGUUUUCGUCCACCGCUUAAGAGAAGCUCUCGUUGUCCUGCAGUCUGACAGUCUGCCCCUCAGUCCUGGUGCUGGUUCUCUCGGGCCUCCCUUCCCUCCCGGCGGGUCCAGCACCAAAUCCUGGGGCU
ensembl:lncRNA